AACGAACGCUGGCGGCAGGCUUAACACAUGCAAGUCGAACGAGAUCUUCGGAUCUAGUGGCAGACGGGUGAGGAACACGUGGGAACAUCCCUUUCAGUUCGGAAUAACGUUGGGAAACUAACGCUAAUACCGGAUACGUCCUUCGGGAGAAAGAUUUAUCGCUGAAAGAUUGGCCCGCGUCUGAUUAGCUAGUUGGUGAGGUAAUGGCUCACCAAGGCUACGAUCAGUAGCUGAUCUGAGAGGAUGAUCAGCCACAUUGGGACUGAGACACGGCCCAAACUCCUACGGGAGGCAGCAGUGGGGAAUAUUGGGCAAUGGGCGCAAGCCUGAUCCAGCCAUGCCGCGUGAGUGAUGACGGCCUUCGGGUUGUAAAGCUCUUUUGUCCGGGAAGAUAAUGACUGUACCGGAAGAAUAAGCCCCGGCAAACUUCGUGCCAGCAGCAGCCGCAG
rnacentral:rRNA from 1 species